CUGUUUAUUUGGGCCUCUUUAUUUGGGCCCACAAGGAAUUGCUCCUUUCAGGUCUUAUUACUAGAAAACACCUUGCUUCAGCAGAAUUGUUGUUGUAUUCCCCUUUUUGUAAAUUCAGCUUUAUGUAAAAUUGUUUACAUAAAUCUUGACAAGCCAAUAGAACAUAUUCACAAUACUAUGCAAAGGCUUAAAAUCAGAAAAAAAAAAAAAAAGGUUUCUUUUUCAUCUCCUGGUCAUCUAAUGACCAAAAAGACAAUAAACUGCUACUUAAGAGGAUGAAUG